rnacentral:lncRNA from 1 species
CUCUGCCAUUUCCUGGUGGCUUUGCAGGCUCCAGAGCAAAAGGGUGGCCGCCCUACGCAAACUCCUCUUUAUCUUCAAAACCUCAGCUCCCUAAGAGGCCUCUUUCCAACUGCACACUUUGGGGACAGCUCACGGAGGUGCCCACCCCGAAGAGUGGCCCUCUCUCUGCACAUCUAUCUUCUCCACGAGGUUGUGAACAUCCUGGGAACAGAGACUGAGUAUUUCACAACCAGAUUCUCAGAGCCAAGUUCAAGGUAAGCUUGGCACACAGAGGUUACUCAAAUGUUUGUUGAACAAAUAUUGAGUAAAUGUGAAGAUCUCUC